UACGGGGGGGGCAAGCGUUGUUCGGAAUUACUGGGCGUAAAGGGCUCGUAGGCGGCCAACUAAGUCAGACGUGAAAUCCCUCGGCUUAACCGGGGAACUGCGUCUGAUACUGGAUGGCUUGAGUGUAGGAGAGGGAUGCGGAAUUCCAGGUGUAGCGGUGAAAUGCGUAGAUAUCUGGAGGAACACCGGUGGCGAAGGCGGCAUCCUGGACUACUACUGACGCUGAGGAGCGAAAGCCAGGGGAGCAAACGGG
rnacentral:rRNA from 1 species